rnacentral:rRNA from 1 species
UACGGAGGGUGCAAACGUUGCUCGGAAUUAUUGGGCGUAAAGCGCACGUAGGCGGUUCGUUAUGUCGGAUGUGAAAGCCCUCGGCUUAACCGAGGAAGUGCAUCCGAAACUGGCGGGCUUGAGUACGGAAGAGGGUCUCGGAAUUCCCGGUGUAGAGGUGAAAUUCGUAGAUAUCGGGAGGAACACCAGUGGCGAAGGCGGAGACCUGGGCCGAUACUGACGCUGAGGUGCGAAAGCGUGGGAAGCAAACAGG